rnacentral:lncRNA from 1 species
CCCUCCUUUUGGCAAACAGUAGCCCAAGAGAGAUACAAGAUUUUCUCCAUCCUCCAUAGGUUCUCCAACAGGAAGGGGUUGAGGGGUUGUGUGCAAAUGUGUUUGUUUGUUUGGGUGUCUCUUUCAUGUUACCAGUGUUGUCUGGUCAUCUUUGUACAGUCAUGUUCCUGUGUGGGCAUCUCUAGAAUAAUCAGGUGGGGAUCUAGUUAUUUCAUUGUGGGACCCUUAAAUAUCAAUUUCUGAGGCUCCUUGCUCUUGGACUGUUUCCUCAGAGAUGACUCCCCCAGACUCCUGGCCAAAUGGUACAAGUCUUGCUGCCAGUAUUGAGAUAGAACCCUCUGGAGAGAAUUGGCUUCCUUGAAAAUCUUCCCUGAAAGGACCCAAGAGGCCAACAAGAUAAAUGCCAAUCCUCCGAGGCACGCUUCUCCCCUCCCUCCUACCUCCCUUCCUACCCAUCCUUUGGAAGGACUUUUGCUUCCUGGUUGAUGCAAGAAGUGUCUCCUGCUCCAUCUUGUUCCUGUGGCCCAGCGGAAUUGAAGGAAUAUCAACAUAAAUAUGGACGCAUUUCUUUAAAACACACUAGCCAGUCUCUCUUGUUGUCAAAGUAAUUGGAAGAAAUGUGUUAUGCAUGCUUGAGCUCAGUAAAAAUCACAAGAGUAUUCCAAAAAGUUUCUUAGUACUCAACUAGUAACAAAAUAUUAUUUAUACUUUGAUGAGCAAUAACAUUAUUAUUUAAAUAGGUGCCAAAACAAUGGCUUCAUAUUGUAAUGGGAAGAUAAGGUAGACAUGGAUAUGUGCAUGCAUGUCCUUAACUGAUUCUAGUUCCUGGUGUCUGCCUCUCUUUGGCAUCAUGGAACCCAAACUUCCAGAUGACUGAGAUUUUUACUUCUUAAGAGAAUAUAUUGUUGUUGUGUACCUAUGGCUUCAGACUGGAUAUAAAAUUCUGGUCCAUCUUAUUUGCUACCACGUAUCAGAUCAACAAGAUGAGUAGAAAGCUACUAUAAUUAUCUGUGUGGUGCUGUUAGGUAGACAGGCCAAAAGAAAUUGAAUGAACCAAUCUGAGUCUGCUAGACUCAACCAACGGUAAUCAACGUGUGUAUUAGGGCUUCUGUUAUUCCAGACAGAACAAAUUAAUAAAAGAAGUCCCUUCU